AACAAAAACAUGUCCUUUUGUUGUUUAUUUAAGGUUUAACCUGCCCACUGAAAUUUAUAUUUUAAAUGGCCGCAGUAAUUUGACUGUGCAAAGGUAGCAUAAUCAUUAGUUUUUUAAUUGAAAGCUUGUAUGAAAGGUUGGACGAAGUAUUAUCUGUCUCUAUUUAAUUUGUUAUAGAAAUUAAUUUUUAAGUUAAAAAGCUUAAAUAUUUAUAAAAGACGAGAAGACCCUAUAAAUCUUUAUAUUAUUUUAAAUUAUUUUAAUUAGGAUUCUUUAGUUUGUAAAUUUUUAAAUAAUAUUUUAUUGGGGUAAUAGAGUGAUUAAAAUAAUUCAUUUUUAUUUUUUACAUUAAUUUAUGUUUUUUUGAUCCAAUAAGGUUUGAUUAUAAGAUUAAGUUACUUUAGGGAUAACAGCGUAAUUUUUUUAAAGAGUUCAUAUCGAUAAGAAAGUUUGCGACCUCGAUGUUG
rnacentral:rRNA from 1 species